GAGAGAUAGCAUGGAAGGUAAGGCGUUUGCCUUUCAUGCAGAAGGUCAUCGGUUCGAAUCCCGGCGUCCCAUAUGGUCCCCCGUGCCUGCCGGGAGCAAUUUCUGAGCAUGGAGCCAGGAGUGGCCCCUGAGCACUGCCGGGUGUGACCAAAAAACCACAAAAAAAAAAAAAAAAAAAAAAAAAAAAAACAGAA